rnacentral:rRNA from 1 species
ACGGGGUGCUCGCAAGAGCAACCGGCGAACGGGUGCGUAACACGUGAGUAACCUACCGAUUUGAGGGGGAUAGCUGGCCUAACGGCCAGGUAAUACCGCAUACGCUCGCUGCGUCACCUGGCGCGAUGAGGAAACCUCCGGGGCAGAUCGAGGGGCUCGCGGCCUAUCAGCUAGUUGGCGAGGUCACGGCUCACCAAGGCGACGACGGGUAGCUGGUCUGAGAGGAUGGCCAGCCACAUUGGGACUGAGAAACGGCCCAGACUCCUACGGGAGGCAGCAGUGGGGAAUCUUGCGCAAUGGGCGAAAGCCUGACGCAGCGACGCCGCGUGGGGGAUGAAGGUUUUCGGAUCGUAAACCCCUGUUUGCCCGGGACGAACUUCCUGAUUCGUCAGGAUUGACGGUACCGGGUGAGGAAGCACCGGCUAACUCUGUGCCAGCAGCCGCGGUAAUACAGAGGGUGCGAGCGUUGUCCGGAAUCACUGGGCGUAAAGGGCGCGUAGGUGGCGCAGGAAGUCGGUGGUGAAAGCUCGAUGCUUAACAUCGAGUCGGCCACCG